AUCGAAUAUUAUUCUAGAAAGACUUCUCUUGGAUAUGUCUUGCAUCUAAGAACUAGGUAGGACUAUGUUUAGAUCAACAAGGAAAUUAACCUAAUCUUACAUUAACGUGUUAUGUUCAAACAUUGUUCGCAAUGUAAUUGAAUUCCAUGGUACUGUCUUUCAAGUGAGAGGUUAAAUUAAAUACGAAUGCCUGUAACAAUUCAUAACGAUGACAGUUGUUAACUAUCUUUUUUAUUUGUUUAGGAUCUUGAUUUUGCUAUUUGUUUAUGGACUUUCCGCUUUGAAUUUUCCUCGGUAUUUUUGUUUUUUUUACUUUUUUCUCUCACAUACAUUAUGUCUAAAUAGCUGAUAGGGGCAUGAAGAGGAUCGGUGAGGUGAGUUGCUACGGGUGAAUCGGUUUUUCUAUAUUUUUGAUGUUUUUUUUCCCUCAACAUUCAAAACCAUAGUCUACUUGUAUUUAUGAUUAUUGAAAUAAGAUCUACAAAGAAAUGAACAAAAUUCAAAUUUGAUGUCUAGUUCAUAUUUUUAUGUCCGAAUUGUAAUUAUCAAAAGCUAGUCUUGAAGUGAACCGCAAUAAUCAUGUUACUUGAUACGAGCUUUCUCACUUACCAUAAUAAACCAUUAAAUCGAUAGGUGUAAUAUAAAUAUAUGUCAAAUCUAUCUUUCAAAUAUACACUCAUGUGAACAACUUCCUUUAUAUUUUACAAUAAAAUUACACUGACUUGUAUUUUUAACCAUUUUUUAUAUUUAUUUUUAACAUUUUGUAGCAUUGCACCAUUUGACAACAACUUCUAUUUAAUAAAAAUGGUAUGUGUUGUGAUAACAUAUAAACAUUGACACCUUUUGCGGAUAAAUCAGACAUAAUCGUAGAAUACAGCUUAUAUUUUCAAGAAAAUUCAAAUAAAAAAUCAAUUGUCAAGUUUUGACAACAAUUCUGAAACUUUGGAACCUUUGCUUAACAUAAAAGACUUAGUACAUUUGAAGAAACAGUUGAUGGCGUUUGAUAUUAUAUUAUGAAUUUUAGAUUUCAGGUCAUAUUUAGUUCAGGAAUUUUUUAUUUUCAAAAAAUGCAGCGGCAAUGAUUUUUCCUUCCGUCAGUUAGAUUUGAACCAAUGCUGUUGUUGUUAUUUCAUGAUUUAGGCUACGACUUCCUCAUAAUUACAAUAGGAAACAUAAUACAUGGCUUUGUCAUGAAUCUUUCCGUAAAGGAUGAUAAUAUAUUAUUAUAUCAACCACGCAGUCACAUUAGUAUGUUUUGAUUUCUUAUUUCUACAUAUAUGACAAUUCUACUACAGAGGUUUAUACACAUAUCACUGCAACAAGACAGUUCAUACGUUUUUAUCAAAAUUAAACCCAACAACGAUAUAAUUUUAUAUAAAUAGCAGUAAAUCUGUGAUUUCCAUUCAAGUUUAGCUUAGGUUUGUCGGUUUAUUCUCGGUCGUACAGUCUAGCACAUAUACAAGUUUAACAUGUUUAAGUAAAAGCUGAUACUGAAAAGGACAACACCAUGGCUAAAUCCAGAAAAGGACAAACAGACAAACAACUUCAAGAAAACGUAAGCCGACGCAAUGACAAUAUGACAAAAACGUAUUCUUUUCUUGAACAUGCAUUUUCAAUUUUUGAUGCAAGAAGUAGUAGAACAAGAAACAAAAGAAGAAAAAGAAGAGGAAGAAGAUCAAACCAACAUCUAUUUCUCUGAGGAGAAUUUCCAAAAUCUAGGAUACUGUAGGAUUCAGUUAUUCGACUCUCAGCAUUUACUAAUAAAGUGGUUCCCUAUAAAGUUGUAUCGGAUAUAAAUGUACAUUUACAUGCCAACAAUCUUCUAUCAAAAUAAAUAAAUGUUCCAGACCAUAUGAGUAUUUGGACCAUACGCGUAUGGUCAUGACCAUAUGCGUAUACUCAUAUGGUCCGACCAUACGCGUAUGGUCCGACCGUACGCGUAUGGUCGGACCAUAUGAGUAUAAUACUCGUUUGGUUAUUACGGGCCGGACCAUAUGAGUAUUUAGACCAUUUAGGUAUUUUUUUCAAAUAACAUUAUAAACGUUUCAAUAAUACAUAAACUUAUAUAAAAAAAACAAUGAUGGGUACAUGACAGUUUGUUUAUUCUAUAAAUCAAAAAUUACGUAAAAAAUAAAUAUUGAUGCCAUAGUUAGUUUCAUCGCUAGUUAUAUUCUUGCAUGUAGGCUUGGAGCGACAUUUACUACCACACGGUAUCAUGGCUUUUUUUUUUGCAUUUGCGAGUCUUUGUAGUGCAUGAUCCUUUUCAUUUACACCUUUUGUUUGUGAGUGAAAGGCUAGCCUUUUUGCAGUUUUGCAGCUGCGUACAUUGAUACCGAGGUCUGGUCAUUCUGAUCUCUACGGUGUUUUAAGAAGCUCUUACUAGAUCUCAAAUAUCGCAAAAUGACUUCAAUACAUCAUAUUCACAAGACAUUUGAAAUAAACUAUGUUGCUUUCCAGUAACUUCCUGCACGGUAACAGUUCAUUAAGAAAUUUUUGGAAUUUAAUCAUUUAAGUCGACAUAUUGCCAUUCACCCGUAAUAACAAAUCGGCAAUGGUCAUCGGUAAUGACCAUCGGUUUAAAAUGUGUUUAUUAUAGUUUUGACAGGUAAGUAAAUAAACUUUGUGAAACUUCUAAUUUUAUUUAGCUUAUCUUUUUAUCAUAAUAUAAUAAUAAAAUUACCUGAUUGCGUCUUUUUAAUGAACGGUCAUGCCAUAUGAAGAGUUUAGAAGUAUUGAAAGUAAGCUGUAACAGAAUUUUAAUUACCCCGACCAUACGCGUACGGUCGGACCAUACGCGUAUGGUCGGACCAUAUGAGUAUAUACCCAUAUGGUCAUGACCAUACGCGUAUGGUCCAAAUACUCAUAUGGUCCGGAACAUAAACAAAUUUGUAGAUAAACCUUUAUUGAAAACCUUACUCCAUACAUUGAGUAAAUCGUUGUAUAAUCAUUUUGUUCAAACAAUGUUCAAAUUUCUGUCUUUCGAGUAUAGCAUAAGAUCUUUACUUUCAUGAAGUAAAUGCACAGCGCAAUCUACUCGUCUUUUUUGCACCACUGAGUGUAUAUGUCACACAACACAAUCAAUUUCUGAUAAGCCGAUACGUUUUUCACCUUCUUCUAACGUUUGUACGACUUUGUUCAUCUUCCAUUACAUUAGCAAAACUAGCAAGUCAAUGGAUGUAGAAGCUCUGUAAAAACCUGGCAGAGACACAAUCUCUUCUUGAUAAAUUGUUUAACCUGAAAUUAAAUCGUAGAAUAUGCAUUACAUAUGAAUUAACAAAACAUUUUUUUUUUUUAAAUUUAUAACUUAUUGCUUAUAUUAACCCCAUUUAAAAGAAAUGAACAGUAAAAAUUAAAUAUGUUUUUGCAUCAAUCAUUGCAGUUAGUAUCUUUGGUAGUUUAUGAUGAAAGAUUGUACUUUAGCGGACCAUUACUAACUAGAACAAAACAUUAUAAACUUGUCCAUCAUGGAAUAGCUUGAAAUGUAACUAAAGCUUGUUUAGAUCAUAUUUUUGUCAUAAAAAUGUUAACGGUUAUUUUUUUCAUAAAGUUUAUAAGGUAAUUGUGUAUGUUUAAAAAAUAUUAUUCCAUCGUAUCACCUUUUUUAUUAGCACAAAUCAUUUUUUCAGAAAUUAUGUAAUAAACGUAAAUACGACGACAAGCAUUCAUGAACAGCAAUUAUUUACCUCAAUCAUCGUUAUAAUAAAAGUUCUUCUGCCUGUACUGAGUUGGUCUAUAGUUUCCUCUCGCGUACUGGGGUGGGUUAUACAGAUAUGUUGAACAGAUGUUACGAAAACAGCCUGGGCAUAGUCUGCCCUCAUACCAAAACGUUGUAGGUUUAAAACAUUUUAUAGGAUAGCGUAAGUAAUAACAGUCCAGCUCUGGACAUUCAUCAAUUUGUUGGUCUUCGUCGAUAGAUGCUGGUUUGCCGUAUGAUAAACCUGAAAAAAUAAAUUACCAUAUGAAGAAAGCGAUCUUUAUAGAGAUCCAUAAGUUUAAAAAGUAAAAUCACAAAAAUACUGAACUUCGAGAAAAAUUCAAAACGGAAUGUCCGUAACAAAUUGCAAAAUCAUAUGACAAAACACAUUAAACGAAUAGACAAUAACAUGAACAACUGUCAUAUUCCAGACUUGGUACAGUCAUUUUGAAAUAUAGAAAAUGGUGGGUGAAACCUGGUUUCAAUGCGCUAAACCUCUCACUUAAAACAUCCUUUUGAUAUAAUCUGUAAGUAAAUACAAAUAUUGAGGUACCUUUAUAUAGCAUACAUUGACAUGCAUAGACAAUUGCAAUACUGUUAUGUUCAUUUUUUUUUACUUUUUGUUGUUUAAUAACCCCACUCCACCUCAAAGAUAUCAUAAUAUCGUUUGUAUCAAUUAACGUGUUCUAUUGCAAAAAUAUUUAACUAAUAAAUAUUGAGACAACAUUUGUCAAAUAAAACUAAAAAAAUCCUAAUUUGUCUAAAUCAAUCAAAUAUACAAAAACUUAGGCUGAACUUUUUUGUGUUAGAUAUUUUGUAUGCAUUAGAAAAACAUACAAAGCGAUAAUUAAUUAAUUUAAUAUCAAUAAAAGUCAAACUGAAAAAAAAAUAAUCAAAUUACCUGUAACUUGAUAUGAAUUCAACAUGGAUCCAAUGAUUAGAAUUGUAGCACAAAUUGUAUACAUUUUUGUUUUAGAUAAAAACAGCUUUUUUUUUUAAAGAUAUCAAAUUGACCUCCAGUGUAUUCCCUUGAAAAAUAUAAUUCAUUUAUAAUAAUAUAACAAAAUACAGGUGUUCUUAUACUAUUAGGGAUCAAUCAGAACACAAUGUCAAUUAAAUUAACAAUUGAUUGAAAAAAAAUACAAUUAUUUAUACAAGAUUGCCGCAAGUUUUCCUUGUUAAGUAAAUUAUCAAUUUAAUAUUUUAAACGUGUCAAAUUUUCUUCGCAGGAUAUAGUUAAGAUCAAUGAUUUGAUUUAUUUAUGAUUCCAUAAGUUUUGCUAAGAGGAAAUUCAGAAAACAAACCUUCAAUCAGGUUUAUAAUUCUGUAUAAUUCAAAUGCCGUACAAUAUAUAUGUUUAACUAUUGCAAACAAAGCAUUUAAUGAUUUUUUUUUGCAGUAAAGCUGAAAACUGAGAGCCGUGGUGUAGUGGGUAGUGCAGCGGACUACUAACACAAAGGUUCCUGGUUCCAUUCUGGGAUGAAAAUUUCAGGGACUGAAUUUUCGGCUCUCCCUUGACACCAUUUUGCGAGUAUAAUCUUAAGGAAACGAUGAUAGUCCGUCGGAAUGAGACGGUAAAUGGCUAACCCGUGUUAAGAGAGAGCCAUAUCUCUUGCACGAAAAAGACACCCUUGUAGAUUUCGAAAAAGAGCAGUCUCAUAUCGCUACAAGGCAGCACUCGCACCCGCAAACUGGAAAGGGAUUAAUAUAAGUUACAAUGACUUGUUUCCAAAUCCACUAUUAAUAAAUAUGUUUAAACUAAAAUGAGAAUCUUCC
rnacentral:lncRNA from 1 species